GGGGCCUGGCCCUCGGGGGCGGGGCCGGGCGGGGCGAGCGCUCCAGGCCUCCUCCCAACUCUGCGCAGGGCCAAGCCCUUCUGCCCCGCACCGUCCCGUUACCCCUGGACCUCGGGCCGCCAGCCCCUUCCACCUGCAGUCUCCCGCUGCUCUCGCGGGGGCUUUUCGUGUGUCCCCCGAGAUGUCGAGGAAGCCAGAUGAGUUCCUCGCGACAGGCGGUGCCUUUUGCAGGAGGGGACAGGUAGCUGAGGCCUGGACAGAAUGACAGGCCAGGCUCAGGGGACACAGGGGAGACCCCCUCACUGGGCUGCCAGUUCCCGGGCUUGGGGCAUCCCAGGACGUCAGCGUCUGCAGCCUUACCUCCUGACACCUAAGGCCAGAGACAGAGCGGGCCCACGCCUUCGGAGGUCCUGAUGUCCAGCUUGGAGGUCAAGGGCAAAGCCACCACCUUUCACAAUACGAGGCCAGACCACCUGCCUCCCGCCAGUCCCUGCGGCCUGGAGACCGAGUCAACAUUCUUAUCUGUGUUGGUUCUGAAUGUUCCUCCUUGCAAAAGAAAACAAGGAGUGGACGUUCAGGCUGAUGGCCAGCUUCAAAGAUUGGGGCCUUUGAUUCCCAUCGCUGGGAAGAAAGCCCUUCAGACAAGCCCCCUGGGCUGCGGUGCAUGGGGACCUUGAAGAACCCGUACCCAUGGUCCCACGUCCAUGUAUGUUGAGACCUGUCACAUCCUCGCUGAAACUCAAGAACGUGAAACAGGUGAAUGUGUGUUUUGAGGCAGUAGCAUACCAGGGCUCUGGUGUGGGCACCACAGCGUGAGUGAGACAACAGCCUCAGCCCGUCCAGGUCACUGCAGAAGAGGAAAGCAGCCCCCGCAGGCCCCGCAGUGGUGCCCGCCUUUCUCCACCCCCAAGUCCUUCCUCUCCACCCCUCAGCUCCAAACAGCUGGAGGUCGGGUGGGGGAGGCAGGUAUCCAUUCCUGAAGUUACACAGCAGGGCCUGGAGACAGGAGAUGCCACUGGCCAGACCACCGUCAGUCACUAAUGAGGCACAGGCAGUCGGAACUGCCCAGUUUCUGAGUUACAGGAGCCUGGGGUGGGGGCUGCCAGACUAGUAAAACUGACCUUAUUGGCAGGAUCGCUCAUGGCUUUUCUGUUGAUGAACAGAGCCCAGUUCUCCCGCGGUGACUGUGAUCCUUCUUCCUGGGGAGUCCUGCUCUCCCUGACCAGGGGCACCUGCCCACCUGUCAGCUGCUCCUCCCUCAGCUGGUCCUCCUGGGCUCUGAUGGCCCCAACAUUUCUAGCUCUUCUCACCCACGGUGCCCCAGCUUCAUGCAGCUGCAGCAGGACACAGUAACAAGCUGUCAUCUUGGGAGGAGACACCAGGCCCUGACCAGACGCUGAACCUGCGCAGCCCCCAGAACUGUGAGAAAUAAAUUUCUGUUCUUUAUAAAUACCCAGUCCGUGGCGUUUUGUUACAGCAGCACGAACAGACUGAGAUAGCGGCUUACACAUAACUGGAAGCUGCAGAAAAAACCUUCAGACAGCCAAGACGGCUCCCAGGACUCAUGCCUGGCACAGACGCCAUCUGCCUGGCAGGGCGAAGAAAGGCGUCUGUGGGUGUGGGAAGAUGCCGAGUCUAACACCCUGAGCCCAGCCAGGAAGGGGCCAGGAAGGCCUCCCUGUGAACGACGAAUGAAACGGAACCCAGAUCUCAGACAGGGCAGGGAAGGGGAGGGGGCACCACGUCUAGCAGCACUCUCUGUGUAAGUCGGCACCUGUGCACACCUGCAUGCACACAUGUGUGUUGUGUGUGUAUUUAUGCACACACAGUACACAGGUGCACGCACAUCAUGUACAUACAUGUUUGCGUGUGUGCACGUGUGUACGUGCAUGUACACAGCAUGCAUGUGUGUGUAUACUUGCAUGCAUGCUAACAUGUGGCAGAGAAUAAAUAAUGAUCACCUCUCUGGAACUGGGUAAAGUAAGUGCUAAACAGAUUUUCUACAGGAAAUGCUGCUGCAAGGAAUUCCUCUGUAGGCUAGCACUAAAACCUGGAAGCUGGGGGCAGGGAGCAGUGGGGAGCGGAAAUCUUCCCAGAGCUCUCAUCAGAAGUGAGGAAGGCUGGAUACAGUGUCUCACGCCAGUAAUCCCACGCUUUGAGAGGCAAAGGCAGGAGGAUCACUUGAGCCCAGGAGUUUGAGACCAGCCCGGGCAACAUGACGAAUCCCCAUUUCUACAAAAAUACAAUUAGCCAAGCAUUGUGGUGUGCACCUGCAGUCCCAGCUACUUGGGAGGCUGAGGCAGGAGGAUUGCUUGGGCCCCGGAGGUCUAGGCUUCAGUGGCCGUGAUCGCACCACUGUACUCCAGCCUGGAAGACAGAGUGAGACCCUGUUUCAAAAAAAAAAAAAAAAAAAA
ensembl:lncRNA